UCAGAAGACAGCUUCCUUUUCUCAGAAUGUUCCAGAGGCAUUUCCCCCAUUGAUUUUCUUUGAGACUGUGUCAGGAUCUUGGCCUCCUUCGCUGUGACAGGAAAAUCCUUUUGGUUUGGAAACAUCAAACAUCAAGCAUAGCAAUUUGUCACUGGCUUGAAUGAGAACUCUGCCCUCAUUCCUAGGUGAAGGAACGAAGACCAAGUACCUUGUUCAUACAACUAAGCUUGGAGAUUCCUGGGGAGAGGUGAGAGGAGUGAAGAGUUGGGCAAAUUCACAGAGGAGCAGAGAGAUCUCCUCCCAGGAGGAAGGAGACCUGUCUUGUGGUUCAGAAGUAUUCAUCAUAUGUCCUUGACAAUUGGAAGAUGCCUGGGGAAUUCAUCAAAAACCUUCAUUGGAGUUCCCAGCUUGCAGCCUGCCCUAC